UUGCUUUUGAAAGUCGAGUGGCAAACGGGUGAGUAACGCGUAGACAACCUGCCGUAAAGAUGGGGACAACAGUUCGAAAGGACUGCUAAUACCGAAUGUUGUAGAGCUUCCGCAUGGGAAUCCUACUAAAGGUGGCCUCUACUUGUAAGCUAUCGCUUUACGAUGGGUCUGCGUCUGAUUAGCUAGUUGGUGGGGUAACGGCCUACCAAGGCGACGAUCAGUAGCCGGUCUGAGAGGAUGAACGGCCACAUUGGAACUGAGACACGGUCCAGACUCCUACGGGAGGCAGCAGUGGGGAAUCUUCCGCAAUGGGCGCAAGCCUGACGGAGCAACGCCGCGUGAGUGAAGAAGGGUUUCGACUCGUAAAGCUCUGUUGUCGGGGACGAAUGUGGAGAUGGUGAAUAACCAUUUUCAAUGACGGUACCUGACGAGGAAGCCACGGCUAACUACG
rnacentral:rRNA from 1 species